GGCUGAUACAGUCACUCCAUCUGGUUCUCAAUGUCAGAACCACCACUUCAGGGUGAGAACGAGGCCCAGGCAGGACAAGUCCUAUAUCACCACUCCAGAAAAGAAGACCUGGCCUACAUCCCCAAAACUGUGACGCCUGCCUGAGAUGUGACGGAAGGAGGCAGCGGCACUCAAGGAAUUAUUUUAACUGGGAAAAACAAGGAAAGAACUUCAGAAGGUCAACUGUGUUGCGAGGACUUUUGAAACUGUGCCAAAACGCCAUCCUCAUCAGUGCGGGCGCCAUAACAGAUAUACCACAGACGGCGAGGCUGAGACCAGACACUUACUUUUCACAGCUCUGGGGGCUGGACAUCCAAGAUCAAGGUCCGGCAGUUUCAGUGUUUCACGAGCUCUUGUCCUCAUCUUCCCGCUGAGCCCUCACCUAGUGAAGAGCAGAGACAAGCAGCUAGUUCUUUCCUGCCUGUUCUUAUAAGAGCAUGAAUCCAAUCACGAGGUCCUUGCUCUCAACUUAAUUACCCCCUCAAGGCCCCACUCCAAAUACCACCUCAUUAUCUCAUUAGGGAUUAGGGUUUCAACAUGUGAAUCUGGGGGGGGCUCAAACAGUCUGUAACAUACAUUAACACAAAAGGUGGACAGUGCACUGGCAUUUGGCACUUUCUGAGAUGCCAUUUGUUGGGCAUUCUUCCAGGAUACCUGUGACUAAUCAUGCAAAAGAAAGUGAAAGUGAAGUCGCUCAGUCGUGUCUGACUCUUUGCGACCCCGCGGACUGCAGCCCACCAGGCUCCUCUGUCCAUGGGACUCUCUAAGCAAGAAUACUGGAGUGGGUUGCCAUUUCCUUCUCCAGGGGAUCUUCCAGACCCAGGAAUCGAACCCAGGUCUCCCACAUAGUGGGCAGACGCAGGCAGACGCUUUAACCUCUGAGCCAAGAAUCCCUUAAUCUUGCAGACCUGUGAAGUAAGUAGUAGUAUCCCUGUCUCAUGGAACUAAGGCCCAGAG
ensembl:lncRNA